AGUCUCACAAUCAAGUCACAUAUUUAUUGAUACAUUUCACUGAUGAUGUUCAAGGACAAUAUGGACAAUAUGGAUAACUCAUGAAUACAUAGGGAAAUAUCAUCAUGUCAUGAUUGAUCAUAUCCCCAACAGUCUCCCACUUCCACUAGAGUCAAUCAUUUAGGCAUUGUAGUCCCAUGUGACGCCCCCGAUUCAAUCGUACACUAAUCAUACACGCAAAUGUGUACGAUCAAGAUCAGGGACUCACGGGAAGAUAUCACAACACAACUCUAGACACAAAUAAAAUAAUACAAGCUUUAUAUUACAAGCCAAGGGCCUCGAGGGCUCGAAUACAAGCUCGAUACGCAAGAGUCAGCGGAAGCAACAAUAUCUGAGUACAAACAUAAGUUAAUCAAGGAUGCCUUAAGAAGGCUAGCACAAACAUCAACAAUCGAAGAGGCAAGGCCUCCUGCCUGGGACCUCCUAACUACUCCUAGUCGUCGUUCCAUGAACCGGCUCCACGUAGUAGAAGGCACCCUUUGGGUAGUAGUAGUAGUCGGCGGGGGUGGCAUCUGGCUCCAUGGAUCCACCAUCUGGUUGCAUCAACUGGAAAGAAGAAAGAAGGGGGGAAAGGGGUAGCAAAGCAACCGUGAGUACUCAUCCAAAGUACUCGCAAGCAUCAGAUCUAUACUAAGUAUGCACUGGUAUCAAAUGGAAGGUUUGUAUAUGUGGACUGAACUGCAGAAUGCCAGAAUAGAGGGGGAAAGCCUAGCCUAUCGAAGACUAGCAUCUUCACGCAGCUCCAAGCAUCUUGCAGCAUGUAGAAGAGUAAAGAAUAACAGUUUAUAAUUAACAAGCAUGUUGUAACAUUAAUGCCCAGAGAUCCUUCCUCGACUCCCUGUGAGAAAGCAAUCCCGGAGCCACAUAUCCAUCACAUAUCAAGUAUCCAUUUCUAGUUGUAUAAGAUCAGGAUAUAAGUCUGAACAUCCAUUACCGAGGACACGGUAUUCGAAUAAAGAUCUUCCCUGCAGGGGUGCACCACGUUACCCAACACGCUCGAUCACUCUGGCCGGACACACCUUUCUGGGGUCAAUGCCCACCCUCGGACGAUCAACACGUCGCGGCCCGACCUAGGCUCAGCAGAAAGGUCCCCGCCAGUCUACAUCCUAAGCACUCCGGGGUCUGGGCCCAUCGCCCGUUGCACUCCGGAUCGUUGUGUGCAGGGUGGAUACCAGCACCACCCGUGUAGUGGAUGGCACGAUCCGACUGUGCCACAAUGCUGAACUGGACGUCGGACAAAGCUUCGGCUGAUACCACGACGUCGAGGCCCAUAACUAUUCUCGCGUGGUGGUUAGUGCGUAAAGGCCAAAGGCCAACUCAGAACAAAUACCCAAACCUGUUAGUGCAUUAUUAAAAGGAGUGACGGCUGUCGGGACAAGUCCGGAGCUAUCACCCCCUCCCGGGUGAUACCGCUAAACAGCCAGCCGCCACUGUCACAUCGCACGGGUGCUCUCCGGGCCCGCCAGGCCUUCUCAACGGUCUCCAGUAAAAUCAAGGUAACUGUGUGUCCAGACAUUAAGGGGGAAAACCCGAGGAAUCACCCCCGGUGGAUUCCACUCAAUGUAAUCAUCAAGGUGAACAUAAGAGGGACCACCCUCGAGGUUCACACUUGAGGUGUUGCACGACAGAGCCGUAUCAGGAAUGGUGAAAGAGGAACCACCCUCGAUGACCACACCGAAUAGCUACACUACAGAAUUAUCAUCAGGAGUGCGUUAGGAGGGAUCACCCUCGGCACUCGAUAGUAGCCCUGCAGAGUCGAGCAACUAAAGGGGCGUGAUGUGAUGUGAGGUGUCGGGCUCUGGUCGUCGAUCACGUCGAUCGAGGCGUCGAUGAUGAAGCAGGGGCAACAAGGACAAGUGGGGGUCACUGAUGUAUCACUAACCAACCUAUACUAAGCAGUUUAGGAUAAACAGGUAGGUAACAAAAGCAGGUACAAAAGCAGGCUAUGCAUCAGAAUAGGAGCAAACAAUAACAGUAGCAAAAUCUAAUGCAAGCAUGUGAGUAUAGAAUGGGCGAUAUCGAGAUGAUCAAAGGGGGGGCUUGCCUGGUUGCUCAGACAAGAAGAAGGGGUCGUCGUCGACAUAGUUGAUCACAGCGGCAUCAGCAGCGGUCUCGGGGUCUACCGAAGAGAAGAGGGGGAAGAACAGUAAAUACAGGCAAACAUAUGCACAACAUGAUUAUAAGCGGGGCUAGAGGUGUUCUAACGCAGUGCUAGGCGAUACUGGCGAAGGGGGAAACAUCCGGGAAAGUUUUCCCGGUUCCGGACGUCUGUCAGACAAAUGAACCGGAGGGGAAAAGUUCAACGUUUGCUAAGAUAGGUACGUGUGGCGGACGAACGGACCGCGUAUUUGGAUUCGUCUCGUCAUUCUGAGCAACUUUCAUGUAUAAAACUUUUUCAUCCGAGCUACGGUUUAAUUUCUAUUAAUUUUUAAAGUUUUAUUAAUAUUCUGAAAUUAUUAUUAAUUCAAAAAAAGGUAAAUUGCUAGGUGCACCUGGUGCAGUGCACCCAACAGUGCACAAGAGGAUGACAGUGGGUCCAGGGGGUCCCAGUUGACUCAGUCAACAAUGCAGUCAACAGUCAACAGUUUGACUGUUGACUGGUCAAAACUGUAGAUGGAGCCUAGGUGUCAUUCACACAUAUCUUGCAUUUUCUUUUUAAGUGGAUAUUUAGAGGGGGGGUCCACCUGUCAUUUGCACUAUACCUAACCACUGAUUAGACUAACAAGUAGGAGUACUAAUUAGCUAACGGAGAGCCGGCCGGCCACCGCACACACAGAAUACACACACGCACACACACUUCUGUUUUCUGCUAACAAAAGAUAGCAUUUUGUAAUUUUCAUAGGAUUUAUUCCAUGCAUUAAAUGGAUUUGGUCCAGUGGACACAUUUAAGCAUUGUCAAGUGUACUUUCUACUAAUAUUAUUUUUAGCCUUGUUAACAGUUUUUUAACCAAAGUUUAGGGGUUGUUUAGGGGGUUACUCAAUGUAAAAACAUUUCCCGCAAAAAAAAAACUCAAUGUAAAAACUAAAAAGCUAGCUAUUAGCUACAGUUGCUAUCAUCAGUUAGGAUCAGUAGCAGUAGACGAGUAGCAAGCGGCAGCAGCAGUGGGCAACCAGAAGCAGUAGCCGCUGGUAGCAGCAGGCACGCACGCCGGCGCGUGCGCACGCGCAAGGCACGACCGGCGCGGUGAGCAGCGAGUAGCGCCGGGCGUGCAGGGGAGCGCGCGUGCUCGUAAUUGGAGGCGCGGGCGGACGAGCAGGGCUGUGGCCCCGGCGUAGUAGGGGAUCCCGGCGAGCGCGUUCCGGCGUGAGUGCGAGAUGACAGCGACGGCGUCGUGCGUGUGCGGGCCAGGGGAGCGCGAGCGCGUACAGGGGAGGAACGGGCGCGCGGAGCUUCGGGCGAGUCGGUCGCAGCAUCCUACGGCGUCAAAUCGAAGAGGAGAAGGGGAGUUUGGACGUGGUGCUCACCGAGGAGGCACAAGGAGGCCCGUCGAGAGGUUAGGAGCAGCAGGCGCGACGGAAACGACGGCGAACGGCGCCGGACCUCGGGGUUGAAGACGGGACGGUCGAUGCGGUGCUGUGGCGCGGUGAAGCAGCGGCGGUGGUCGUGGUGGUCGAGGUCGGGGCCAGGGAGGCGAGGACGAAGUGGUCGGAGCGUCUUCGCGCGCGUCAUCGUGGAGGCGGUCGGGGACGGGACAACGACGAGGAGCCCGUUGCAGAGGCGUUGAGCUCCAAAGGGUGGUCUCAGGCGGCGUAGGGGAUGGUGGAGGAGCACGCGGACUCGACGAACGGGCACGGUGGUUGCCGGUCGUCCUGGUGGAGACGGAUGGCGGCGCCGACGGCGUUCGUCGAUGGCGGAUCUGGGCACGAGGGAGUGUGACGAGGGAGAGAGGGGGCGAGGGAAAAUAUCUACGNNNNN
rnacentral:lncRNA from 1 species